CCAUCAUUCAGUUGGGCGACUCUAGCGAGACUGCGGUAAUAAACCGGAGGAAGGUGGGGAGUGACGUCAAAUCAUCAUGCCCCUUAUGACCUGGGCUACACACGUGCUACAAUGGUUGGUACAACGAGUUGCGAGUCGGUGACGGCGAGCUAAUCUCUUAAAGCCAAUCUCAGUUCGGAUUGUAGGCUGCAACUCGCCUACAUGAAGUCGGAAUCGCUAGUAAUCGCGGAUCAGCACGCCGCGGUGAAUACGUUCCCGGGCCUU
rnacentral:rRNA from 1 species